GACGAACGCUGGCGGCGUGCUUAACACAUGCAAGUCGAACGGAAAGGCCCUGCUUUUGUGGGGUGCUCGAGUGGCGAACGGGUGAGUAACACGUGAGUAACCUGCCCUUGACUUUGGGAUAACUUCAGGAAACUGGGGCUAAUACCGGAUAGGAGCUCCUGCUUCAUGGUGGGGGUUGGAAAGUUUCGGCGGUUGGUGAUGGACUCGCGGCUUAUCAGCUUGUUGGUGGGGUAGUGGCUUACCAAGGCUUUGACGGGUAGCCGGCCUGAGAGGGUGACAGGCCACGUUAGGACUGAGAUUAGGCCCGGACUCCUACGGGAGGCAGGGGUGGAGAAUAUUGCAUAAGGGGCUGAAGCCUGAUGCAGCACCGCCGCGUGCGGGAUGACAGCCUUCGGGUUGUAUCACACAUUCCUUUGUGACGAGGAGUGAGUGACGGUAAUGGGUAAAGAAGCUCCGGCUAACUACGUG
rnacentral:rRNA from 1 species